UGGUGGCGCCCCCGUUGGUGCCGCGCUGGGAGAAUGCUCGGGCUCGCUUUUUCGGGAUCCACCUCUUCACUCUCCCCGUUUACCUUUAGCCAUGGGACGAACAUCCGGCCCUCUUUCCUCCGGGGGGUGACGACAGUGGGAGCAGGUGGGGAAGAGUGGGACCGGGAUGAAUGAGAGGCCAGUCACCAGGUCCAGCCUACACUCUGGGGAGGGGGUUAUGAAGGUCAUGGAUACCAGGAGGAUCACUGGGAUUAUUGGGGGCCAUAUCAGAAGCUGCCUACCACACAUUAACUGGUUGGCAAACUGGUGGCUGUCCAUUUUGAAGGCAUCUCUUCACUUAAGGAGUCAUCUUAACUCCAUGUAUUGAGAACCGUGAAAGGAAGACUGAGAAAUGUAUCCUUUGACAGAAGGGGAAUGGCUGGGGUGGGAAAUUGUUGGGGCUUAGAACACUGUAAACAUGGUUGUGGCUGAAUGACCUGCUCUCUCUACUGUCUGUCAUGCUACAAGAGCUACACGUGCUGCUCAUGACUAUACGCUGAUAAAUAAAAUGAAAAUCUGAUAGCUUUUGUUUUGUGAUUUUGUUCACGGAAAGGUUCUAAUAGAAAUCCAUCUUGAAACUACUUAUGUUGGUUUCAUUUUCAUUUGAGUUUGGAAUUUAAGUCAACAUUUCCUUCCCCUCUUGCUUUCCCUAAU